UUAUACAGAAAUUUUAUGUACGACUUGACAAUAACUACUUCCGCUUCACUUCUGUGAAACCAAAGUGAAAGUAAGCAGUUCAAAUCAACAACUUGAAAUUUUUGGAUUUAGAACUAGUACAGAAAGAUACUGGGUUUGAGCAGUAGGCAGUGUUGCGGAUGUUGACUUGCAUUUCUCCAGACUUCCAACAUAUUUGGCCGAAAUUGUUGAUAGGCCUGAUUUAGCGAGAGGACUACGAGCAAAUUUCUGGACAUUAAGACUCCGACUCUGAGACAGAGUUGGACUCAGACUCGGAAUCAUCAACUGGCAUUAAUAUUAUUCCACCAACUCCAAGUUCAAGAAAGAAGUUUUAUCAUUACAAGAAUCAGAUAUUGAAGGCUCUCAAGGGUUGGACACUAACUUCUGAAUCCAGUGAUUAUCUCUCCGACUCCGAUUCUGAAAAACCACCUGCAUGUAGUCCCAAUUAUACUAAAG